AUGGCAUGAUGUGGGCAUAAUCUCUCUAAUUCCUUCCAUCUCAUCCAUGACUCAUAAAGAGUUUCAUCUUCUCUUAGUGCGAAAAUUUGUCAUUUGAUUCCUCGGCUCU